rnacentral:lncRNA from 10 species
CCACCCUCUCCAGACCUGGGAAACCAGGGGAUGAGCCCACCAUGUGGAAUUCAGAUGGGCCUUCUGGCUACCCCAGGGGCCUCCAGCUCAGCUUCCUGGGUGUGUCAGAGAGGCGUGCCAGGAGCCAGAGCUGAGGAAUGAGGCUGGGCUUACUGCCACCCAGGAGGAGUCCCUCUGGAGAGCCUCAGAAAGUACCUGCAAUGGCAAUACAACAGAAGAGCCUCUAAAUAUCUCCUUUUGGGGAUACGGCAGGAAAGCCAAAGGAAAUGUGAAGAGAUGUCUGAACGCCCAGAGGAAACCAGUGGGCCCUUCCAGGAGUUCUAUUUGCGGUAAGAAACCUUGGCAUGGGGCAGCCAGCUCUCCUGCAAAAAUAGACCAAUGUGCUGAGAAGCAGCUCAAUUCUGGGAGCAAUUCCCCUCCAUGGGGAAGAGAGCUUGCACUGGGACUUAGAAGGAUCUGCCCCCUCUCUUCUUCUUGCCCCUGGACUCCAGAACCAAAAACGGGGAGAAAAAAAGGUAAACAUUUUUUUAAAAAAGAACUCUUGGCCAGGUGGAGUGGCUCACACCUGUAGUCCCAACACUUUGGGAGGCUGAGGCAGGAGGAUCACUUGAGGCUAGGAGUUUGGGACCAGCCUGGACAACAUGGCAAGACCCUGUCUAUCAAAAAAAUACAAAAAUUAUCUGGGUGUGGUGGCACAUGCCUGUAGUCUCAGCUACUUGGGAGACUAAGGCAGGAAGAUUGCUUGAGCCUGGGAGGUCGAGGCUGCAGUGAGCUAUGAUCAAGACAGUGUACUCCAGCCUGAGUGACAGAGUGAGAACCCCAUCUCUUAAGAAAACAAAAAACCAGAACUUAUGAAUGUAUCCAUGACUUAAAUCAAAAAUGGGCCAGUGGAAACACAGGGCAAAGGAAGGUUUCAAAUAAGCACCUGGACACAAACGGACCCAGGAGGUGACACACAGUAUUGAGGACCCACUCCCCAUCACUAGGUCCUUUGGCCUCAAAUGAGUGAGAUGACUAAGAAAAUAGGGCACCAUGUGCGGCAGAAGUGAGGGUGGCUAGACAGAAAAUGACGGCCUUGACUGUGAUGGUCAUCACAGACAGGACCCCUAAGAAAGGUGGCCAAGGGGGUCUGGGGACCCAUCUUUAGAAUACCGGGCUGACAGCAUAACAGGGGUUUGGGACACCACCAUGAAAGAAGACAAUGAAGCCAGGUGCAGUGGCUCACGCCUAUAAUCCCAGCACUUUGGGAAGCCAAGGCAGGAAGAUUGCUUGAGCCCAGGAGUUUGAGACCAGCCCGAGCAACGUAGCAAGACCCCCAUCUCUACUAAAAAUUUAAAAAUUAGCGAAGCAUGGCUGGGCACGGUGGCUCACGCCUGUAAUCCCAAUACUUUGGGAAGCCAAGGCGGGUGGAUUACGAGGUCAGGAAUUCAAGACCAGCCUGACCAACAGGGUGAAACCCUGUCUCUACUAAAAAUACAAAAAUUAGCCGGGUGUGGUGGCAGGCUCCUGUAACCCCAGCUACUCAGUAGGCUGAGGCAGGAAAAUCGCUUGAACUCAGGAGGUUCAGUAAGCCAAGAUCAUGCCAUUGCACUCCAGCCUGGGUGACGGAGUGAGACUCCAUCUCAAAAAAAAAAAAAUUAGCCAAGCACAGUGGCAUGUGUCUGUAGUACCAGCUACUUGGGAGGCUGAGUGAAGAGGGAGGAUUGCUUGAGGCCAGGAGUUGGAGACCAGACUGGGCAACAUAGCGAGACCUCAGCUUGGAAGUAAGGAAGGAAAGAAGGGAGGGAAGGAGGGAUGAAGGUAGAAAGAAACGGGACAAGAUGGACUCCUGAGGCCAUCCUAAUUCUGGAACACAAUACAAUGGCCUCUGUAUGUUAGGAGGGCUCAUUUGGCUUCUCUCUAAGCCAGCAGUCCACAUCUUUUUGGCACCAAGGACCAGUUUUGUAGAAGACAAUUUUCCACGGAUGGGGGCGGGGGGUGGGGGUGGGAGGGGAUGGUUUCGGGAUGAAACUGUUCCACCUCAGAUCAUCAGACGUUAGAUUCUCGUAAGAGGUGCCCAACCUACAUCCCUUGCACGUGCAGUCCACAAUAGGGUUUGUGCUUCUAUGGGAAUAUAAUGCCACACUGAUCUGACAGGAGUCAGGGCUCAGGUAGUAAUGCUCACUCACCUGCCGCACACCUCCUGCUGUGCGGCCGGUUCCCAAUAGGCCAUGGAAUGCUUAUUGGUCCACAGCCCUGGAGUUGGGCACCCCUCUUCUAAGGCAGAAGCUUCUACUGUCUUAGGAGCAGCGUCCUGGCCUCCACAGCAGGGAGAGAGCAGGAAUACCCAGCCACAGAUACUGGUCAAGAUAUUGAUCAACUUCCUACCAUCAUGGUGGAGGCAAGCCUGGAGGCCUCUGGGUGGUCAUCAGGUCACCCCAGCACAUUUUCCUGCCCCGGACUCCUGGCCACGCUGAGGUUGCUGUGAGCAGACACGAUGUGCAGGGUCAUGGAUGUGCAGCUCAAACUCCUUGACAAGCGGGAGAUUUAUUUUAUGGCCCAAGCAGUUUGGAGACAAAAUCGUAAGGUGCUCACCCAUCCAGUGUCUCUUCAGCCGGCACUGGGAGGUGUCAAACUGACCACAUUCGACUGCCCCUUCCGCCCGCAGAAUAUGGGUCUGCGUUUCUCUUUCCCUCUUGGUGGCCAAGAACUGUCAACAUCCAGCUGUGGCUCUGCACUCAGCCGCCGCUCAGCCUGCUCAGGUUGAAAGGUCAAACGUUGUCUGGAAUUGGCAGCCCAGCUUACUAGCAGCUCUUCUGUCUUCAGAGUGCAGUGAGGGGAGCUGUCAGAGGGCUGAGGCAAGGACCAGAGAGGGAACUCCUGCGACAGAGAAAGCUCAGCCCUGGUUAUGUUCUGGAGGGAGCAUAGCAGGGUCUGUCCCAGGAACUUUAUUAGUUAGCGGUUAAGAUCCUCAUCCACAGAAAAGCCGGUAGGAAUUAGCCAGGUGGUGUGUGCCUAUGGUCCCAGCUACCCAGGAGGGUGAGGAGGGAGGACUGCUUGAGCCCAGGAGGUUGAGGCUGCGGCUAGCUAUGAUUGUGUCACUGCGCUCCAGCCUGGGUGACAAAGCAAGAUCCUGACUCAAAAAAAAAAAAAAAAAAAAAAGGAAGAAAGAAGAAAGAGAGAGAAGAAAGAAAGGAGAGAAAGAGAAGGAAGGAAGGAGAAAGGAAAGAAGGAAGGAAGAAAAGGAAGAAAGAAUGACAAAGAAAAGAAAGAAAGACGAAAAGGAAAGGAAAAGAAAAGAAAAAAGAAACAAAAGCAGGAAAGUGAGGGGAGAGGGCCAGGAAGACAGAAGACAGGAUGGGCAAGAAGGGUGGGAAGGAUUCCCACACCAGAUUCAGGAGUGGCUCUGCAUUGGGAAAUCCAUCUACGACUGCUGGGGACUUGGUUUUGCAAACAUGCACAGAGAAACCUUCAUCCACCUCUGUGCAAUGUUGGACUGAAGUAGAAAUGAGCCGCUGUUUUCUGGAAGCACCCCAUUUCUUUGAGCUGAUCUUCUCUAAUAAUGAAUUCUGGUGAAGCCUGCCAUUCACAGCACCCUGCCCUCCCAUCUGUAGGAGGUGGGAACAGGACCCAGGCCAGUUGAUCAGAGAGCUCCCUUGCCCUGGGAUGAGCAUGUGACCCAGAUGUCUCAAUCAUGGGGAAGAUCCUCUUGCCUGUUAUAGCCACUAUGCUGGAAGAACAGGAUGUGGGCUUGCUGGCCGCCAUCUUCCAGUCCACGCUGGGAACCCAUCUGCAGGAGGAGGGAAGGAGGACAACCCAGUUUGAGGGAGCAUAUGGACAGCAGCUAUAGAAGGCUCCAUAUGUGCCCAGUGCUAGAUCCACCCCAUCCCUUCCUGUUCCAUAAAUCCAUACAUCUUCUCUCACUUUUGCUUACCCUAGUUUGAGUUACAUUUCUGACACCUGCCACCAUAAAAGCCCAAAUGAUUACAGAGAAUAUUUGGCUACAGGAAAGACCCUGCAGUCUGUGAAAAAAGAGGCUGCUGGUGCAUAGUCAUCGUAGACCAGUGCAAAGAGUGAAACAGAAACAUCCAGCUUAAUCUGCAAAAGCCUUUUUGGAUCCUUGAGAGGCGCUCAUUAACUUACAGCAAAUUGGUGAGCUGAUACUCUUCUUUCAUCCAGAUCUCUCUCUAGAAGCAUUGGAAGAGGCCGUCUCAAAAAAGAAAAAUAAAAUAGAAGCAUUGGAGGAAAGAUGUGGUUUGUAGUGAAACAAAUUGGAAGUCAAGCUCAGCCUCAACCACUUACUUGCUUCUGACCUUGGCAUGAAGUUGCAGAAGCUGACCUGGGUCCUAACUGUAAAAUGCAGAGGAACUCUAUCCAUGAGGAAGCUUUGUGAAGUCGAUUCAUUGCUAAUGUCCCUGUAGUGUCCACCACAGGAAACAUUACUAUUUGGGUUUUGUGACCCAGGAAUCCAUAUUUACCUGGCGGCAACGACACAGCCCUCACCUUUCCAGACCUCAUCUGGUGGCCUUGUAAUCCUGGAGCUGAAGCUGCCUACACACAAGCAAUCGGUCGCAGUGUAUCCGUGCAGGGUCCCAACCCACUCCAGGAUUCAUUUCGGGAUGGCUUCCCCUCCCUCAGCCAGGUCUCCGGCCCCGUUGCUCUGCAUGCUUGCCCAUCUCCAUCUCCACGGCGAUCAUGUGUUUGCAGGGAGCCAUCAAUAUCCUCUUCUCUUACGCUUUCUGAAUGGGAGAGUCAAUCUCAAUGGGAAGCUAGCAGGGACUUGGGUGGACAGGUGUCUCACGCUGGAUGGGCGAAUCCAGGUGGGAGGGAGGGUGGGCUUGCUGUCAUUUGUUGGUGGGUCAUGGGAUUUGCUAUGAAGCUGGAGGGAAAAUCUGGACCCCUGAAGAGGGGUCCCUUCCCUUCCUAAGGGAAGGCCUCAGCUCCAAGACUGCAGGAGGAGCUGGGUAGCCAUUGGAUAUGGCUAACGCACAUGAAUCAUGACCAGGGUGCACUGUUUGGACAGCAAGUCAGUGGCCCAAGGAGAGAGAGGUUAGUGAUGGGAAGCGUCCUGAGACUCACUGAUGCAUCUUUACAUUUUUCUCUUUAAGCAUUAGGAAGAGGCCGGGUGCCGUGGCUCACACCUGUAGUGCCAGCGCUUUGGAAGGCUAAGAUGGGCAGACUGCUUGAACUCAGGAGUUUGAGACCAGCCUGGGCAAUGUGUCAAGACCCCAUCUCUACAAGAAAUUUUAAAAUUAGCCAGGCAUUGUGGUAGGUGUCUGUGGUUCCAGCUACUCAGGAGGCUGAGGCAGGAGGAUUGCUUGAGCCUGAGAAGUUGAGGCUACAGGGAGCUGUGAUCUCACCACUGCACUCCAGCCUGGGCAACAGAGUGAGACCCUGUCUCAAUCAAUCAAUCAAUCAAGAAAUAUUAGGAGGAGAAUUUGUUGAUGUCUCUUUUCUGUCAUAAGCUCGGCUCUCCAAGAGCCUUUUCUUCCCAGGAGGACAUGCUGGUGUUUCAUGAAUCUAGGACUUCUUGCCUGAAGCUUGUAAAGUGCUAGAUGGAAUGAAAACAGCAGCAGUAAGAGCAGGCUCUUAUGCAACCUUGCUACACACAAGGCAUUGCUCUAAGUGCUUUGCAGGGGUUAAGAGAUGCAGCUGAGUAGCUGAGGACAGUCUAGGGGUGGGGUUUCCAGAGGCUGUCAGGGGAGUGGCCCCCAGUCUCCCUGGUGGAAUCCCUGACCAUUAAUCACACACAUAAGUUUCACUCCACAAACAUGGGUUGUAAAAACAUUACAAUCUAGCCAGGCGCAGUGACUCAUGCCUAUCAUACCAGUACUUUGGAAGGCCGAGGCAGGAGGAUUGCUUGAGGAGUUCCCGACCCGCCUGGGCAACGUAGCAAGACCCCCAUCCUACCAAAAAAAAAAAAAAAAAAAGGCAGGGUGUGUUGGUGUGCACCUAUAGUCCCAGCUACUUGGGAGGCUGAGGCAGGGAGAUUGCUUGAGCCCAGAAGUUCAAGGCUGUGGUGAGCUAUGAUUAUACUACUGCACUCCAGCCUGAGCAACAGAACAAGACUCUGUUUUUUUUUUAAGCCAUAAUCCAUUAUUUUUUUCUAAAUUAAAUGGAAUGUGUUGUGAACCACAAUCAUUUAUUUUAUUUACUUAUUUAUUUUUGAGACGGAGUCUUGCUCUGGCGUCCAGGCUGGAGUGCAGUGGUGUGAUCUCGUCUCACUGUAACCUCUGCCUCCUGGGUUCAAGCAAUUCUCCUGUCUCAGCCUCCUGAGUAGCUGGGAUUACAGCUGUGCACCACCACACCUAAUUUUUGUAUUUUUAGUAGAGAUGGAGUUUCAUCACGUUGUCCAGGCUGGUCUCGAACUCCUGGCCUCAAGCGAUCCACCUGCCUCAGCCUCCCAAAAUGCUAGGAUUACAGGCGUGAGCCACCAUGCUUGGACCUAGCCACAAUUAUUUAAUACCAGGGCUCCCUGCCAUUGCUCCCCAGAGCUGGGAGAAGGUCUCAGGAGCAUAUUGGGUCAGGUAUGUGUGGAAAGGCCCUCCAGGCUCAAAUCCACACUGGGCCUGCUCUGUGCCCUGACUCCAAGCUCCAGGAGCCCUCAAAGGUGGCAGCUCCACUGCUCAUGAGCCAAGCUUAGGGACCGGGGCCCUUCCUAGCAGCCAGAAAGAGCCUUAUUCUUAGUUGUUUUUUUUUUUUUUUUUUUUUUUUUUUGUAGAGACAGAGUCUGGCUCUGUUGCUCAGGCCAGAGUGCAGUGGUUCGAUCAUAGCUCACUGCAACCUCAAACUCCUGGGUACAAACAAUCCUCCUACCUCAGCCUCCUGAGUAGCUGGGACUACAAGCGUGCACCAUCACACCUGGCUAAUUUUUAUAUUUUUAAUUUUUAAUUUUCUGUAAAGACAGGGUCUUGCUAUGUUGCCCAGGCUGGUCUCAAACUCCUGGCCUCAAGCGAUUCUUCUGCCUCGGCCUCCCAAAGUGCUGUGAUUACAGGCAUGACCCACUGUGCCUGGUUCUGUUUUUAGUACCAAGGGCCCUCAUACCCCCUGUCUCUUCUUGGGACUCUGCCAAGUCCCAGGCUCCUUCUCAGCCUUGGGGACGGUACCCAGAUCAGCACCUCCACUUCCAUCUCCCCACCUCACCCCAAACCCUUCCCUCUGGCAUCUAGAGCCAUCCUAAAGUUUCUCUUCUUGAGUCUAGCCCUCCUGGGUAUGCUUGGGGACUGAAAUGCUCAAACUGGCCUCACCUCUUGACACUGUAAUUGUUCCUUAUCUCCCAUUAAACAGGAAUCCUGCUUUGUGUAGUUCAGUGCCUGCUGCCAAGUCAGAGCUGUGACCUCAAUGAAAGUGGCCCAGCCACAGCAAACCUCAGUUUCCAUAACAGUCCUGGGAUCCAAUGUGGCUUUCACACUACAUGUCACUUCACUCUGUUAUCUCUGACAGAAAACCAACUCAAACUGGCUUAAGCAAAAAGGGUACUCACUGGGCCAUGUAACCAAAAAGUGUAGGCAUACAUGUGGCUUCAGGAAUGGCUGGAUCCAGGCACUCACAUGUGGCAUCGGGAGUCCCUCUCCUGGCUGUUGGUUUCAGUUUUCUCUGCAGGGGUUUCAUUCAAGCACUGGUUCCCUCCUCAUAGUGGCAAGGUGGCUGCCCAGGACAAGAGGCUUAUAGCCACGGGCUCAGCUACUUAAGGAUAAGUUCCAUCAGAAGCCCAAGUUGAGGCCGGGCUUGGUGCUCACACCUGUAAUCCCAGCACUUUGGGUGGCCGAGGUGGGUGGAUCACUUGAGGUCAGGAGUUCGAGACCAGCCUGGCCAACACAGUGAAACCCUGUCUCUACUUAAAAAAAAACAAAACAAAACAAAAAAAAAAACCAUGAAAAUUAGCUGGGUGUGGUGGCACGUGCCUGUAAUCCCAGCUACUUGCAAGGCUGAGGCAGGAGAAUCACUUGAACCUGGCAGGCGGAAGUUGCAGUGAGACGAGAUCACGUCAUUGUACUCCAGUCUGGGCAACAGAACGAGACUUCGUUGGCAAUGACUGGGUCAUCUGUCCAGUCCUGAACCGGUCACUGUGUCAGGUAGAAGCAUUGUUUGAUUGGCCAGGCCUGGGACACACGGCCAUCUCCAGACCUAGGAAUGGCAUCAUCUCUACCCAAACCCCGUGAACCAAGAGUUGGGGAGGAGCAAAGCUUCAGAGAAAACUCUGGGCCCUGUCAUCAAGCAGAGGAGGAAAGGAGGCCACACAGACUGAGACAUCAAGUACCCACUGUGCCCUCACCACCAGCUCCCGCCCUGGCCAGUGCACUCCUGGACCAUCUCUCCUCCCCGUCUUGUUCACAGUCACCCUCUCACCCCAGCAGAGAUCAGGCCAGGGUACUGGUGGCAAGUGAGUGAAGGGUUUCAGCAAGGGGGUCCCCACCUUCCAGGCACAGUGUAAGUGGACCCCCCACACUUGGGGGCUCUCCUGGGUUGCACAGUGUCCUCUGAAAAUUCACAUCCACCUGGAACCUGCAAAUAUGACCUUAUUUGGAAAUGGAGUCUUUGCAGAUGUUGUCAAGAUAAGAUGAAGUCAUACUGUUUUAGGAUGGGCCCUCUAUAUGGCACGACUGGGGUUCUUAUACGAAGAGGGACCCUGGCACACAGAUGCAUACAGGGAGAGUGCUGUGUGAUGAGAAAGGCAGAGAUUGCAGUGAUGCUGCCACCAGCCAAGGAGUCACCAUCAGCCAGGAGAUGGGCAUGGAUCUGAUUCUCCCUGGGAACCUCCAGAAGGAGCCAACCCUGCCAACACCUUGGUUUUGGACUUCUGUUCCCCGCAACUGUGAGACAAUACAUUCUGUGGUUUUAAGCUUUAUGAUAAUUUGUUACUGUAGCCCUGGGAAAGGAAUACAAGGGUAGACAGACACUGAUCAAGUAAGCAAACAAAUGUGAAAUUGCCCUGUGACAAGGGAGGUGCGGGGUGCCUGUGUUGGGGAAGAAUUCUCUGAGACUUGAAGUCAGAGAAGGAGUUAGCUAAUGGGGCCGACAGGGUUCUGCACACGCAGCUCACGGCCCAGAUCUUGUUGGCCAAGUGUUUUUGCAGGGAUUAGGAACUAAGAAUGGUUUUGCAAGAAGAACAUCACAGGCUGAGGGGACAGCAUGGGCAAAGGCCAUGAAGUGGGAGGCGCCCUCUGUGAAACCAACAAGCUUUCAGCCACGUGGGUCUCUCUGACGCGUUGCCUCAGCCACAGAGGGCUUUAAAAAGCCCCGAAACUGGACAGGUGUCACUGCCUGUGGCAGUAGCGGCCAUUUGGCGCCUGUGGUUUCAACUCCACCCGUUUCACAUGUCUAUGUUACCAGACUGGCCCCUGAAGGGGAUCUGUGUGCCAGGCCCUGACCUGCCGGGCUUUGGAAACAUCCUCGACAGUGUCCCCUGACCUGCGCCCCGCCUUGUGGAGUGAGGCCUGGUUGCCCAAGCUGGCUGGGCCGGGCUGUUUGUUGCUUCCAACAAACAUAGGAGAGAACGUAUGGCUGCUUUUUAUUGCCAGUGAGAGUUCCGCGAGGCCUGGCCCGAGAUGUGGCUGGCGUGAGGGGUCCCGGACCUGCUGUGCUGGGGACGCACCCAGUUCUGUGUCGCUUGGUCCAGUGAGGACUCGAGCCCCUUGGAGGCGGGGCCUCGGGCUGCAGGGGCGGGGCCCCGAGCCGCCUGGGGGUGGGGCCUCAGGCUCUUUGGGGGCGGGGCCUCAAGCUGUCUGGGGACGGAGCCUCCGGCCGGCUGGGGGCGGGGCCUCAUGCCUAAGGGGCGGGGCCUCGAGCUUUCUGGGGGUGGGGUCUCAAGCUUCAGGGUCGGGGCCUGGAGCCGCCUGGGGACGGGGCGAUCUGUUGGGGAGGAGGUUCUCGAACUGCUGAGGAGGAUCGCAGUGCUUUUGCUUCCUCUAGGAGACCAGCUGCACAGGCUGGAACAUGCCAUCUCUAUGCCUGUUUUCCCGUCGAUAAAUCCAGAGACAUUACUCUCAUCAUUUCUUCCUCUGUACACAAUAUUCAUAUAUGUAACCCCUUGGUAAAGCAGUUGUAAGAAUUAAACAAGAGGAAUUGCUCUUUCAUUCAGCAAAUAUUUUUUGAGCAGCUACUAGAUGCCAGGCACUGUUUUAGACGCAAGUGAUACUUCAGGAAACAUAAUCAGAC